AAAUGAAUAGACGGGGGCCCGCACAAGCAGUGGAGUAUGUGGUUUAAUUCGACGCAACGCGAAGAACCUUACCAGGUCUUGACAUCGGAUGCAUAGCCUAGAGAUAGGUGAAGCCCUUCGGGGCAUCCAGACAGGUGGUGCAUGGUUGUCGUCAGCUCGUGUCGUGAGAUGUUGGGUUAAGUCCCGCAACGAGCGCAACCCUUAUCGUUAGUUACUACGCAAGAGGACUCUAGCGAGACUGCCGUUGACAAAACGGAGGAAGGUGGGGAUGAUGUCAAAUCAGCAUGCCCUUUAUGACCUGGGCUACACACGUACUACAAUGGCCGUAAACAGAGAGAAGCGAAAUGGCGACAUGGAGCAAAACUCAGAAAAACGGUCUCAGUUCGGAUCGGAGGCUGCAACCCGCCUCCGUGAAGCCGGAAUUGCUAGUAAUCGCGGAUCAGCAUGCCGCGGUGAAUACGUUCCCGGGCCUUGUACACACCGCCCGU
rnacentral:rRNA from 1 species